GCGUUCCUCGUCUGGAGAGAGGCGGGCCAUUCCCCCGGGAUGGCGCCCGUCCACCGAAGGGGCAAGCAGCCACGGCACCACCGGGGCUGUCAAUCUCUCAGGUAAAGCGGACAGCGAGGGCAUC
rnacentral:ncRNA from 2 species